rnacentral:rRNA from 1 species
AUGCAGUCGAGCGCUCACCUUCGGGUGNGAGCGGCGGACGGGUUAGUAACGCGUGGGAACAUACCCUUUUCUACGGAAUACCCUCGGGAAACUGAGAGUAAUACCGUAUACGCCCUUCGGGGGAAAGAUUUAUCGGAGAAGGAUUGGCCCGCGUUUGAUUAGAUAGUUGGUGGGGUAAUGGCCUACCAAGUCUACKAUCAAUAGCUGGUUUGAGAGGAUGAUCACCAACACUGGGACUGACACACGGCCCACACUCCUACGGGAGGAAAC